rnacentral:lncRNA from 1 species
UGGGGCUAUUUCUGCUGUCAAGAUUUGCUCCGAUGGGAUAUAGGUAUAACUAUCCCUCUAACCUGAGACCGCCACAAUAACUUGCAAGCAACUCACUGCACUUAGGCACUGGACUACCUGAAUUUUUAAUUCAGUGAUGGAAGGAUGCUGGGUGUAGUCAAAUAUUUGACUUGUCGGUGCGUGUGUCAAGAUGGGAUUAACCACUCCAAUUCAAGAGCUGUGUAUAGUCGUGUUUCAAUUUAGCAAAAUCUUGGUCAGGGUAGUCCUAGUGAGGAGUCACGGGACUAUUUGAGUAGAGC